GACGAACGCUGGCGGCGUGCUUAACACAUGCAAGUCGAACGGAAAGGCCCUGCUUGCAGGGUACUCGAGUGUCGAACGGGUGAGUAACACGUGUGUGAUCUGCCCUGCACUUCGGGAUAAGCUUGUUAAACUGGGUCUAAUACCGGAUAGGAUCCAUCUUUAUUGUUGUGGUUUGAAAGUUUUUUCGGUGUAGGAUGAGCUCGCGGCCUAUCAGCUUGUUUGUGGGGUAAUGGCCUACCAAGGCGGAGACGGGUAGCCGUCCUUAGAGGGUGUACGGCGACAAUGGGACUGCGAUACGGAGCAGACGCGUACGGGAGGCAGAAGUGGGGAAUCUUGCAGAAUGGGGGCGAGCCAGAUGCAGAGACGCCGCGUGCGGGAUGAAGGGCUUCGGGUUGAAAACGACUUUCGCUAGGGACGAAGCUUUUUGUGACGGUACCUAGAUAAGAAGCAACGGCUAACUACGUG
rnacentral:rRNA from 1 species